UGGCAGAACAACCUGUUUGUUUAGUGGGGUACAAAGCCCUUGGAGGCUCUGAGUGCCCCAUAGCACACGUUCAGUGUGAGAUCUCUGCCUCCUAACAGGACUGUUUCUGUGAUUUCCAGUAUCAUAGCUUUUUCCUUCCAGGUUCUCAGAGCCUUGAGUACAUGCACACAGAGGUUAGUGCUUCAUAAUUCUGAGAUACAAGUGGUCCAUAAUUUACAUAAAUGACUGUGGUUACUUUUGUUUUUCCACUGCUGUAUUAGAACCUAGAAGGAAAAAGCUAUGAUACUGGAAAUCACAGCUUUCCAUCACUAUAAUGAGAUCCCUGAGGCAACUAACUUAUAAAGGUUUAUUUAGCACAUGGUUCUGGAGUUUUCAGUGGAAGUUCAGGGGUCCCUAUCACUUGGGUCUCUGAUGAGGGUUGGGAUAUUGUUAGUAGUGAGUGGCGGAGCAAACCACUCACAAUAUAAACCCAGAAACAGAAAUGUAGGUGAGAUCCCACAAUCCCCUUCAGGAAUCUGGCCCCAAUGAAUUAAACCUUUCACUGGACCCCAUCUUCUUAAAGGUCUGUCAUAUCUCCCUAAGUACCACUCAAGUAAAUAACCAAGUCUUUAACAUGUGGACCUUUAGGAAAUAAUACCCACAUUUAAAUCAUAGCAAUAGCCGUAUUGAAUUUUUAUCAUAGUUUUGUUAGCCUUCCAGUCCUCCUCCUGUGUGUAUGUGUAAUAAUAACCAACAUUAUUGAAUAUGUCGAUGCAUUACCGAUAUCUGUUUAAAAAUUUUCAUAGCAACUUGGUGUGGUAGGCACUAUGCUUUAUAUUAAGUAUUUAUUUUGUGUACACCAAAUAUUAUUUUAAGUGUUUCACAAGUUUGAAGCUCAUGUAAUUAUUAAAACAAUUAUGUAAGGUAGAAAUGACUCUAUCUUCCAUUUCUUGGCCACAGAAAAUACACCAUUGAGAGGUUAGCCAUUAUUACUUGGCCUUUUAAGUGGUAAAGAUGGGAUUGGAAUCUAGGAAGUCAGAUUCUAGAAUGUGCUUCUUAACAGUUAUGCUUUUCUGCAGCCUUGCUCCUAUUCCCAGUUCUGAUCCAGGACUAAUUCCUGAAAAAUAUGUGAUAAGCACUUCUGGGAGAUCUCAGUGAUGCUCUUUGCACAAUAACCAUAAGGAAGGCCAGGUACUGAUCACAUGGUCGUCUCCGCUGUGUUGUUAUUCUUCUGCUGCUUCAGUCUUCCAUUCUGCUUCUAUAUCCACAGGACAAAAAAAAAAGCUCUGCUUUAUCUGGGAAUCACCACACUGUUGGAGUAGGCAUAGUUUUUGGAGAGUGAUGCUGCCCAUACUAGGUUCUAUGUAUAAAACAUAGGGACAAAGAGAACAUUGUGUGCACGGGUGAGGGAUGAGAUAUGUUGGAAUUUUGUACUUUCUACUCAACUUUUUGUAAACUUAAAACAGCUCUUAAAAGUAAGUUUAUUAAUAUUUUAGAAAGUAGGUUUGUCACUGGAAGAGGUCUAGGGAGUUCUGGAGGACUAAGAGACCUCAAUUCAGGACCAUCGGGUAAGAUGAUGACCUUAACAGAAAAAAAUUUCAAUAUGCAUCAGAGACACAGACAGGGAUUUAUUUAGGAAAGCAGGUGCAUAUUCAGGGAAGAACAUAGGCUAUCUCAAGAGACAGAGAUGCUCUUGGGGUAAAACAAGGAAUACAUAUUCAAGGGAGAAUGUGGACUAUCUCUGGAGUGAAAGACACUUUGGGGGUUCUUAGGCUCUUAUUCCCCACCCCCGCAUGGUAUUGGUGAUUUAACCUAGGGGCUGCUCUCUAUCAUUGAGGUAACUCUCCAGCCAUUUUCAUUUUUUAUUUUGAGACAGGGUCUUGCUAAAUUACUGAAGCUGGCCUUGAACUUGCAAGCUUCUGGCUUAGCCUAUAUAGUUACUGGAAUUACAGGUGUGCACCACCAUGCCUUGCUAAGGCUCUUUUAAAGGAAAGAAACUUGUUGAGGGAUUGGCAUAGGAAGGUAUUCACAUCUAUAUAGUCAUCACAAGAUGUUUUAUGGUCGUCUGAUUUUUCUCCGGAUCCUUAGGCCAAUGUGAUCUUUGGAUCAACCCAAGCACAAAUGCUACUGCUUCUCUUUCAGCAAAGUGUCUCCAAGUAUCUUUUGUUUGUUUAUGUGUUUGGGUUGUCUCUCCCUCCCUCAUAUUCAUAACUAAGACACACACAUAUGCUAAUAGUCCAGGUCCCACCUGAUACUGAAGAAAUUCACAUUAUUUUACCAUUUUUGUGAGUGCACAGAAAACUUCCAGUUCCUGUUCAGUUCCCUGUAUCUAANGACUAAUCCACAAAGCUACAACUAUCUUAUAUUUGAUAAAGGAGCUAAAAGCAUGCAAUGGAGGGAGGAUAGCAUCUUCAACAAAUGGUGCUGGGAAAACUGGAAAUCCAUAUGCAACAAAAUGAAACUGAAUCCCCUCCUCUCGCCAUGCACAAAAGUUAACUCAAAGUGGAUCAAGGAGCUAGAUAUCAAAUCAGAGACUCUGCGUCUGAUAGAAGAAAAAGUUGGCUCCGAUCUACAUAUUGUGGGGUCGGGCUCCAAAUUCCUUAAUAGGACACCCAUAGCACAAGAGUUAAUAACAAGAAUCAACAAAUGGGACUUACUUAAACUGAAAAGUUUUUUCUCAGCAAGAGAAACAAUAAGAGAGGUAAAUAGGGAGCCUACAUCAUGGGAACAAAUUUUUACUCCUCACACUUCAGAUAGAGCCCUAAUAUCCAGAGUAUACA
rnacentral:lncRNA from 1 species